UGGUAGAAAAUAUCAUAACUAAUAUUACUAAUAGAACAUUGCGACAAGCUCAUAUUUGUAAACUGUUGCAGGAGAAUGUGCCAUGGCAAUCUGAGACAGUUUCUUCCAUAGCUGAGGCCUUGGUUGAUUCCAAAUCUGCAAAGCAAAGUGUUAUUACUUGGUUGUUGUUGCAAGGAACUAACUCUAUUGGGAAAACAAGUCGGCCGGAAAUCAGCUUAGAUACCGACGACCAAUGGUUGAGGUUGGCAACAUUAAAAACCAAUGGGCUGUGGAAUAUUCUAAGAGCGAGAACUACAUGAUAUUGGACAAACAUUGAUUAUAUGUUACAAUCGAGUUAAUAUCAAAUAACUAAA